rnacentral:rRNA from 1 species
UACGUAGGGUGCAAGCGUUGUCCGGAAUUAUUGGGCGUAAAGAGCUCGUAGGCGGUCUGUCGCGUCGGCUGUGAAAACCCGGGGCUCAACCCCGGGCCUGCAGUCGAUACGGGCAGACUAGAGUGCGGUAGGGGAGAAUGGAACUCCUGGUGUAGCGGUGGAAUGCGCAGAUAUCAGGAAGAACACCGAUGGCGAAGGCAGUUCUCUGGGCCGUAACUGACGCUGAGGAGCGAAAGCGUGGGGAGCGAACAGG